ACUCUCUCUCACACACACACUCUCUCUCUCUCUCUCUCUCUCUUUCAGAGGCAGUGUUUAGGGGCACUCCUGUGGUGCUGGUCAUGUGUGCAGCUGGAGGGAGAGAGAGAGAGAGAGCGAGAGAGAGAGGACAGAGGCCCCACAAGCAUCAAGGCAUGGGUGAAAGAAGCAGGCUGUCAUGUUUGCACUGCAUGUAAGUCGCAUGCAAGGAAUUCCAUGACCUGUAGUAGAGGAGUUGAGGUGUAUACAUCAGCACGUAGUCAACCAGCUGCAUUUGGAAUAUCUCCAGAGUUUGAGGAGUGGGUGAAUGUGGCCCUGAAUGAAACCCAGGAUGAAGUUCCAUGGAAUGAUGAGAGGGAUGUGUGGGGUUGGUGGACAAGUCACAGCAGCACAUCUUGCUUUGCUAAACUCACUCUGCACAGUUCAAUUUAUAAGAUGUAAACAAAGAGAAAAAUAAUGAGUCAGAACUGUUGACGCUAAAAACUACCUACGCUAAGUUAUAACAUGAAAUACAGUGACUUCAAUGCCUGCUGCCCGAGACAUUGAUUUAUGACAGUUUUGAGAUAAGCUCAAGAAAUAUUUUUAAAAUCGAUUUGUGGUGGAGAGGUCAUGCAGCCUGUUGUAGGUCAAACUAG